AAAUAAAAAAAAAAAAUGAACAAACACCAGCAGUAACUUCACCCUCUAAUUCCUACCAAUUCAGCUUUAGAGUUUCUCCCUAUUUUCCAUGUUCUUUUCUUCUCCCUCUUUUUCUUCCAUUUCCUCGCGUCUACUGCAAGCUCCUCGAUCAGUCGUCUCAACUGGGUCCUCUUGCACUCCCAUUCCUGGUUUCCAAAUUUAUCUCCAUUAUUUUCCAUAAAACCUCUUUUUCCUUGUGAUUGGAUUCAUGUGAUAGGAGGCCCUUGUUUUCCAGUACGACACUUUUGUUCCACCCGUGAGUUCACUUCAAAAAUUCCUCCUCUGUUCUUAAUUCUCAAAGCCCAUUCCAGCUGUUGGUCAAAAUAAGCAGGCAGCUCAAGAGGAAAGGUGCAUUGAGUUUUUAAAGAUUUUUGGCUAAUUAUAAUUUUGAGUAACAAUUAAUUUUUAUGAGCACUUAAUAAAUAUGACUUGAGAGACAUUAAAUGAUAAAAACAAU
rnacentral:lncRNA from 1 species